GGAAAUUAACAAUGAACAAUUUAAAUUAAAUGACUUAACUACGUGACAUUAUAAUGUAAAACCAAUACUAAAAUAUUCAGAAAAACAUCCGUUAUUGCACAAAGUUCCAUUUUUGGAAUUACCGUUUUAUGGGUUUUAAAAUAAUUUUACAACUUUUAAUGCAUUAAUAUAAAUACAUUAAAGGACAACAUCAUUUGAUCUAAAGGUAUCAAACCAACUGUAAAAUAUACAGAAUAUUAUUCAGUAUAAUGCACAAGGCAUUGUUUUUCAGAUGAUGCCUUUGUUGUUUUUAUAUACAUUAUUGAAUCAACAGUUUUAUAUAAUAUCCUCACUUCAAUUAAACUGACACAGUUUGAGAUAAAGGUAUCAAACCAACUGUAUUAUAUUCUUUAUAAUGCACAAGACAUGUUUUUUUAGAUUAUGCUUUUAUUGUUUGUAUAUUGUUUAUAUUUUAUUAAAGGAUACUGCAAGCACUUUAAUUUAUCACCCUUUAUUCAUACUGCACAAAAAGUGGUUCAGUAACAUUGAAUGGUACAAAAUAGUCAAAGGAACUUUAAUAAAAACCCAUGGUUAGGUAUUGAGUGCCGCAGUCUACACCUAGACUUUAUAUAAAAACACCCACAGAAAUUAUACAGGGCCCCAAAACACCCGAUAAGUAAAACUUUGUAAGUCUAAUGUAUCGUUACCACAAACAGUCAUUAAAGAUGAAUGAAGAAUAAAAAAAUAAGAAUAAAAAAGUAAAAUAAAUAAGAAUAAACACCAACCUCCUUGUUCCUCUGGUUUUAUUGUGCAGGUUUCUGGUUCCUCUUGUUUUAUUGUGCAGGUUUCUGGUUCCUCUUGUUUUAUUCUCCAGGUUUCUGGUUCCUCUUGUUUUAUUCUCCAGGUUUCUGGUUCCUCUUGUUUUAUUCUCCAGGUUUCUGGUUCCUCGUGUUUUAUUCUCCAGGUUUCUGGAUCCUCUUGUUUUAUUCUCCAGGUUUCUGGUUCACUCGUGUUCUCUUUUCUCUCUUCUUUAAUAAACAUAAUUUUCACAGAAGCAGAUCUCAGUUCAGAUGAUAAACUCCUCCAGAUAUUCCUG